rnacentral:sRNA from 1 species
AAAAGGAAAGUAUAAAUUGAAAUUUUGUCUAAUUUGGCUUCAAUUUUGAUUUCAAUUUUGGAUUUAAUUCUUUCCUAUUCAAAAACAUUAAGGGUAAUUUGGUCUUAACAAUCUCAUAAACUUUAUAUGAUCCGAUUCAAUCUAAACCGUUCAAUAAAAUUAAUUAUCUUCAAUCUAAACCGUUCAACAAAAAUAAGUGAAAUAAUUUAUUUUUUAUCUUCACUUUAAAGACAUAUAAUUAUAAAUAACAUAAUUCAUAUGGUCUUUAUUUUGC